AUGCUUAGAGCACUUUACUCACCUACCUAUUAUGCAACUUUCCCUGUGCCUGGAGGUGCCUCCAGAAAGGAUACCCUACUUUAUUACCCAAUUCCCCUUUUUGUUUUAGUAUUCAUGGCGUCUAUAUGUUUAUAUUCCAGACUACAUAUUUAAAAGUCUGAGACCUCAAAUUAUAUGAAAUGGGUUUUUUAAUACUAUGUUUGCAUACAUUGACCUAUAAAGAAGAUUAAAUAUUUAGGUGAAUAAUUCCCUGCUGCAGUAUUUGUACACUUCAGACUACCUCCUAGGAAAAGCUUCACUUAGUUUUACAAAAUUCCUUUUUUUUUUUUUUAAGAGAUGGGGUUUUGCACUGCUGCCCAGGCUGAAGUACAGUGGCAUGAUCAUAACUCACUGCAUCCCCAAACUCCUGGGUUCAAGCAAUCCUCCUCCCUCAAUCUGCUGAGUAGGUAGGACUACAGCCAUGCACCAACAACCUGGCUAAUUCUUUUUCAUUUAUAUAGAUAGUGUUUUGCUGUGUUGCUCAGGCUGGACUCCAACUCCCGGACCAAGUAAUCUUCCCACCUUAGUCUCCUGCAUUGCUGGGAUUAUAGGCAUGAGCCACUGCACCUGGCACCCAAGUUACUUCUAGUUCUCAAGUUAGAUGAUUAAUAUCACACUUUUCUCACACGUUUUAUGAUAGCAUUGAAUUUUUAUAAUUAAUUUACUAAUCAAGAUUUACAGUCUUUAAUACAAUCUUAAUUUUGGAAUUUGUAAAGGAAUGACUAAGAUCUAAUUUUUUUUUUUUUUUUUUUGAAACUGAGUCUCGCUCUGGUCUAGGCUGGAGUGCAGUGGUGCAAUCUCAGCUCACUGCAACCUCCGCCUCCUGGGUUCAAGUAAUUCUCCUGCCUCAGCCUCUCAGCACCUGUAGCUGGGACUACAGGUGCGUACCACCAAGCCCAGCUAAUUUUUUUGUAUUUUUAGUAGAGACAGGGAUUCACUGUGUUAGCCAGGAUGGUCUCGAUCUCCUGACCUCAUAAUCCGCCCGCCUUGGCCUCCCAAAGUGCUAGGAUUACAGGCAUGAGCCACUGCACCCGGACAGAUCUAAUUUUUUAAUAGUGUAAGAGAGAUACACUGUGCAUUCCAUCUAUGUCCUGAGUAAUUCAAGUACCAAAAAGUAAUUUAACACGAAACUCCGUGAAAAUUCAGAGCUUACACUUGAAUUCAAGAUGCCUAUUUUUGGUUGUUUAAAAGUUACUUAAACCUGAGCCUUAGGACCUUUACAAUCUCAGCAUGCCUCUUAACCUAGUACUUUUCCUGUUUUGAGCUCUAGCAAACCUUCAGCAAGCCAAGGUGGUAGGUAGCCCUUUUUCCACACUAUCAAAUAGAGAGGUCACCAGUUGUUUACUACCUUAUGGUAAAAUGCCCGGAUCAAGAUCCAUGUAUCUGCCCACAUUGUGAUGAUGCAAUUAAAGCAUAGUUUUUUCUACUUUCUGAAAUAUUUCUUUGAUAAAACCACUUUACAUUUAAGAGUAGAAAACAGACUGCCUUGGAUUUUUUUUUUCAACUAUUGAAAAUACUGAAAAUUUUUUUUCAACUUUUUUGUGUGUGUGUGUCGAGAGAAAAGAGAACAUGAAAUAUUUAGUGUUGCAAGCACAAACGUUUGGACUCAAUAAAUGACAAACUAUGAAGCA
ensembl:lncRNA